rnacentral:rRNA from 1 species
AUUGAACGCUGGCGGCAUGCCUUACACAUGCAAGUCGAACGGUAACAGGUUAAGCUGACGAGUGGCGAACGGGUGAGUAAUGUAUCGGAACGUGCCCAGUCGUGGGGGAUAACUACUCGAAAGAGUGGCUAAUACCGCGUACGACCUGAGGGUGAAAGCGGGGGACCGUAAGGCCUCGCGCGAUUGGAGCGGCCGAUAUCAGAUUAGCUAGUUGGUGGGGUAAAAGCCCACCAAGACGACGAUCUGUAGCUGGUCUGAGAGGACGACCAGCCACACUGGGACUGAGACACGGCCCAGACUCCUACGGGAGGCAGCAGUGGGGAAUUUUGGACAAUGGGCGCAAGCCUGAUCCAGCCAUGCCGCGUGCAGGAUGAAGGCCUUCGGGUUGUAAACUGCUUUUGUACGGAACGAAAAGACUCUGGUUAAUACCUGGGGUCCAUGACGGUACCGUAAGAAUAAGCACCGGCUAACUACGUGCCAGCCGCCGCUGUAAGAC